rnacentral:rRNA from 1 species
UUCCGAAUGGGGAAACCCAACUGCAUAAGCAGUUACUGUUAACUGAAUACAUAGGUUAACAGAGCAAACCGGGGGAACUGAAACAUCUAAGUACCCCGAGGAGAAGAAAUCAACCGAGAUUCCGGUAGUAGCGGCGAGCGAACCUGGAUUAGCCCUUAAGCACUCGGUGAAGUAGGUGAACAAGCUGGAAAGCUUGGCGAUACAGGGUGAUAGCCCCGUAACCGACGCUUCAUCGAGCGUGAAAUCGAGUAGGGCGGGACACGUGAUAUCCUGUCUGAAUAUGGGGGGACCAUCCUCCAAGGCUAAAUACUCCUGACUGACCGAUAGUGAACCAGUACCGUGAGGGAAAGGCGAAAAGAACCCCUGUGAGGGGAGUGAAAUAGAACCUGAAACCGUGUACGUACAAGCAGUAGGAGCACCUUCGUGGUGUGACUGCGUACCUUUUGUAUAAUGGGUCAGCGACUUAUAUUCAGUGGCAAGGUUAACCGUAUAGGGGAGCCGUAGCGAAAGCGAGUCUUAACUGGGCGCUCAGUCUCUGGAUAUAGACCCGAAACCGGGUGAUCUAGCCAUGGGCAGGUUGAAGGUUGAGUAACAUCAACUGGAGGACCGAACCGACUAAUGUUGAAAAAUUAGCGGAUGACUUGUGGCUAGGGGUGAAAGGCCAAUCAAACUCGGAGAUAGCUGGUUCUCCCCGAAAGCUAUUUAGGUAGCGCCUCGGACGAAUACUACUGGGGGUAGAGCACUGUUAAGGCUAGGGGGUCAUCCCGACUUACCAACCCUUUGCAAACUCCGAAUACCAGUAAGUACUAUCCGGGAGACACACGGCGGGUGCUAACGUCCGUCGUGGAGAGGGAAACAACCCAGACCGCCAGCUAAGGUCCCAAAGUAUUGCUAAGUGGGAAACGAUGUGGGAAGGCUCAGACAGCUAGGAUGUUGGCUUAGAAGCAGCCAUCAUUUAAAGAAAGCGUAAUAGCUCACUAGUCGAGUCGGCCUGCGCGGAAGAUGUAACGGGGCUAAGCAAUACACCGAAGCUGCGGCAAUGUCUUUUAGACAUUGGGUAGGGGAGCGUUCUGUAAGCCGUUGAAGGUGAAUCGUAAGGUUUGCUGGAGGUAUCAGAAGUGCGAAUGCUGACAUGAGUAACGACAAAGGGGGUGAAAAACCUCCUCGCCGGAAGACCAAGGGUUCCUGUCCAACGUUAAUCGGGGCAGGGUGAGUCGACCCCUAAGGUGAGGCCGAAAGGCGUAAUCGAUGGGAAACGGGUUAAUAUUCCCGUACUUCUGACUAUUGCGAUGGGGGGACGGAGAAGGCUAGGUGGGCCAGGCGACGGUUGUCCUGGUUCAAGUGCGUAGGCUUGAGAGUUAGGUAAAUCCGGCUCUCUCUAAG